rnacentral:lncRNA from 1 species
CUUGGAUACUAUGGUCUCUACAAUAGUUUGAGUAAUUUUCACAAGGUAAUUUUUGUCUGUACAUUUUUACUUAUAUAUUUCUGGAGUAAUGAUGACCUUCGAUUUACUAAUAUGCUAUCCCACUGAUUUCCUUACAUUGUGAUAAUUUCAUAUCUUAUCUAUGCAAAAUAUAUUCAUCCCAGUCUAGUAAGUAAAAUAAUUUCUAUAUUGGUUUAUUUCAGGCAUGGCUUCUCAUUAUAUGCAAGAAUUUUCACAAGAACAGGGCAUAAAACAUAUAUUUCAAAAAGUAAUAAAUGGAAAUUAUGAACUUGACUAUUCACAACAAAGAAAAAUAUGGAAAAUUGUAAGUGAGAAUGAACAUCAGAAAUUAUAUUAUCAAAAGUCAGCCCUUAUUCACCACCAUAGAAUUCAUAUUGAAGAGAAGCCCUACAAAUUUAAAGACUGUGACAAAGCUUUUAAUGAAAAAUCUCACCUUAUUUGCCAUCGGAGAAUUCACACUGGAAAGAAGCCCUACCAAUGUAAAGAAUGCGGCAAAGCAUUCAUUAAAAAAACACACCUUAUUCACCACCAGAAAAUUCAUACUGGAGAGAAGCCCUACAAAUGUACAGAAUGUAGCAAAUCUUUCAUUAAAAAAAUGCACCUUAUUUAUCACAGCAGAAUUCAUACUGGUGAGAAACUCUACAAAUGUACAGAAUGUGACAAAGCUUUUAGUAAAAAAUCAAGACUUAUUCGCCACCAGCGAAUUCAUACUGGAGAGAAUCCCUACCAAUGCAAAGUAUGUGACAAAGCUUUUAAUCGAAAAAGUAGCCUUAUUCGCCACAGCAGAAUUCAUACUGGAGAGAAGCCCUACAAAUGUAAAGAAUGUGACAAAGCUUUUAAUGACAAAUCAAACCUUACUUACCACAGCAAAAUUCAUACUGGUGAGAAUCCCUACAAAUGUAAAGAAUGUGGCAAAGCUUUUAUUAAAAAAGCAUACCUUAUUCCCCACCUGAGGAUUCAUACUGGAGAGAAGCCCUACAAAUGUACAGAAUGUGACAAAGCUUUUAAUGAAAAAUCAAGCCUUGUUUGCCACAGCAGACUUCAUACUGGAGAGCAGCCCUACAAAUGUACAGAAUGUGACAAAGGUUUUAGCAAAAAAUCAAGCCUUGUUCGCCAUCAGAGAAGUCAUAGUGGAGAGAAGCCCUAUCAAUGCAAAGUAUGUGGCAAAGCUUUUAAUCGAAAAACUAGCCUUAUUUACCACAGCAGAAUUCAUACUGGAGAGAAGCCCUACAAAUGUGAAGAAUGUGACAAAGUUUAUAGUCAAAAAUCAGCCCUUAAUUACCACAGCAGAAUUCAUAUUGGAGAGGCUUACAAAUGCAAAGAAUGUGGCAAAACUUUUAAUCAUCCAUCAAACCUUACUAGACAUCAGAGAAUUCAUAUUGGAGACAAGAUCUACAAAUGAUAUACAGUAUGCCAUUUCUUCAAGGGUGGGUCAAAAUUUAUUCCACACCAGAGUAAUUACAGCAGAGAAAAAUUAUUCAAAUGAAAAAACUGUGACAAUGUAAAAAUGUCUCUAACAGUUGGUCACCCCUUACUCAGCACCUGAGAAAACAUACUAGUAGGAGAGAGUAUGAGUGGAAAAAAUUGUUUUAAAACUCAUAGCCAUUGCUCAGACAUUAUUGAACUUUGGAGAAUUCAUAGUGCUUAGCAAUCUUAAAAAGUUAAAUAAUGUUUCCAAGCCUUUAUUUAAAUUUCAAAUUUAUUGAACAUCUGAAACCUUAUACCUGUAGUGAAGGUUAAACAGCAUUUGUCCAAAAUAUGUGUUGUAUAUAAAGGCAAAAUAUUUACAAUAAAAAAACUUUGACAAGUAUAAAAGAAGUAUAGUAAAGUCCUUAUCCAUACCUCAUAACUUGAUAUAUUUGAGAGUCAGUAAAAGAGAAAAUCAUUUAAAUAUAGAAAAUGAGCAACUGGCUUUAACAUUUGCUUAAAAUUUAUUAAUUAUUAUUAGGAGAUAUGGAGAAAUAACAAAAUCAUUGUAAAUAUUAUACAUCCAGAAUGCAAAUAACUCAUCUUUGAAAGGAUACACAUUUCUUAUAAAUCAAAGAUUACUGAAUAUUUGCUCUUUUGAAUACUGGAGAAAACAAUUAUAAGAAACAAUUAUAAGAGGCUUUACAUUCAAUUUUAAUGUUUUAAACUUUAUUUCUUGUACUGUGGGUUAAAUUUAAGGAUGCUUAACCACUGAGCCGCAUUCCCAGUCUUCCCCCCUGGCCCUUUUAAAUUUUGAGGCAGGGUCUGCUAAGUUGCCUAAAACCUCAUUAAGUUGCUAAGGCUGAUUUUGAACUUGUGAAAAUUUUUCCUCAGCUUGCCAAUGUGCUUGGGUUACAGGCAUGGGCCACCAUGCCCAGUUUACAGUGCAUUUUUACCUAUAUUCACAUUAUGUAUGCAACAUGUUAAUGAAUAUAAGUGAAUGUUAAUAUGUUAACACUGUCAUAUAUUGAAUCAUGUCAUUAUCUCAAAGAUAUCACAGUUUUCCACUUGACUAAGGGAUUUAUGUAACAGACAUACUAUUGGAUAAAUAGUACUGUAACAUCUCUUAUUUAACACACUAAUCAAACUUAUUUGGGAAAUAUAAUUUGCAUAAAUCAAAUUGUUAUAGUUUUUCUGUUUGUGUUUGUGGAGAUAUUAAGACAGUUAUAAGAAUGAUAUAGAGAGAUGAAAAUGAGCCCUAGAUCUUUAUAUUUUGAAUUACAAUGUUAAUAUCUUACCUUAUAGAAUGACAGUACUCCUAAAGGCUGGGCAUCUCUGGAAAGUCAUAAAAUCUCCCAAUCAGGUGGAUUAUGAACACCCCAGAGACUAGGAUCCUACAGUGCAUAUUUUGUUUUAAGGAGUCAUUGAAGAGAGAGAUAUUCUUAGUGCUUGCAUGGGAAAUCCUGUGGUCAACAAGAAACUGGCCUAUCAUGGCUCUUGGCAUGUUCGGUAGAGAAAAAAGACUGGGGAAGACAAGCAUUCCUCAUAAACUAAAUAAGAGUAACUCCUGACUGACCUCCAAAAAUUUAGAAAAACAGCCCAGAAUAGGACCACCUGUUUAGUCUUGGACACCCCACAAGGAAAUAUGACCAGAAAAAAAAGUUUAAAAUUAUAUAAACUUUUAAAACUCCUACAAUUUAUUUUAUUAGGUAUCUUUUGAUUUUAGAGACCUCUUUUAUUCUACUUUAUAAUAUAUAAGGGCUAUUACAGAUUGUAUGAUAGAUAGUAUAUGGCAUGCUUUCCCAGUACAUCUGCACAUCUCAGUCCUUAUAUUGUAAACUAAACCUGUCCCUUUUUAGGUCUUACAGGUACAGUAGCACAUGUCUCCACACAGAAACACACAAAAUUUGAUUCAAAUGAACACCAAAAACACACAAAAAUUAUCCUAUAUUUCCUCCAUGUGUUAGCACUGUGGGUCAACAAAACACCCACAAACUUUGAUUUCAUUUAAAUUAACUUGGAUAUAAAACAUUGCACUCUAAUGAUAACUUUUCUGGGCAAGAGAACUGUGGAAAUAGUAAUAAUGUGUGUGUAAUUUUUUUAAUUUAUUAAUUUAUUUGUUUGUUCAAAUUUGUUAUCCGUAACAGCAGAAUGCAUUUCAGUUCUUAGUACACAAAUGGAGUACAAUUUUUCAUUCCUCUGGUUGUGUACCAAGUAGAGUCACAUCAUUCGUGUCUUUAUACAAGUAUCUGGGGUAAUGAUCUCCAUCUCAUUCCACCAUCUUUUCUACCCCCAUGCCCCCCCUUCCCCUCCUUCCCCUUUGCCCCAUUUGAACUUCCUCCAUUUCUCCCAUGCUCUCCCAUCCCCAUUAUGGAUCAGCAUACACUUAUCAGAGAAAACAUUUGGCCUGUGGUUUUUUUGAGAUUGGUUUACUUUACUUAGCAUGACAUUCUCCAUCCAUUUACCUUCAAAUGCCAUGGUUUUAUUCUCUUUUAAUGCUAAGUAAUAUUCCACUGUGUAUAUAUACCACAAUUUCUUUAUCCUCUCAUCUAUUGAAUGACAUCUGGGUUAGUCCCACAAUUUAGCUAUUGUGAAUUGUGCUGCUAUAAACAUUGAUGUGGCUACCUCCCUAUAGUAUGCUGUUUUUAAGUCUUUUGGGUAUAAACUAAGGAGUAUGCUAGCUGGGCCAAAUGGUGGUUUCAUUCCCAGUUUUCCAAAGAUUCUCCAUAUUGCUUUUCAUAUUGGUUGCACCAAUUUGCAGUCCCACCAGCAAUGUAUGAAUGUGCCUUUACCACCACUUCCUCACCAACACUAUCUGUUCUUUGUACUCUUAAUAUCUGCCAUUCUGACUGGAGUGAGAGAAAAUCUUAGAGUAGUUUUGAUUUUCAUCUCUCUAAUUGCUAGAGAUGUUGAACUUUUUAAAAUAUAUUUGUUAAUCAAUUGUAUAUCAUCUUUUGAGAAGUAUCUGUUCAGUUCUUUAGUCCAUUUAUUGAUUGGGUUAUUUGUUUUUUAGUGUUAAGAUUUUUACAUUCUUUAUAUAUCCUGGAUAUUAGUUCUCUAUCUGAUGUGCAAGUGGUAAGAAUCUGCUCUCAUUCUGUAAGAUUUCUGUUCACCUCACUGAUUGUUUUCUUUGCUAGAAGAAGAUUUUCAGUUUGAAUUCAUUCCAUUUAUUGAUUCUUGAUUUUAUUUCUAGUCCUUUAGGAGUCUUGUAAGGAAGUAGUGGCCUAAUCUGGCAUGAUAAAAGAUUUGGACCUACUUUUUCUUCUAUAAGACACAGGGUCUCUGGCCUAAUUCUAGGUCUUUGAUCCACUUUGAGUUGAGUUUUGUGCAUGGUAAGAGAUAGAGGUUUAAUUUCAUUUUGCUGCAUAUGGAUUUCCAGUUUUCCCAGCACUGAUUGUUGAAGAGGCUAUCUUUUCCCCAAUAUAUGUUUUUGGCACCUUUGUCUAGUGUGAGAUAACUGUAUUUAUGUGGAUUUGUCUCUGUGUCCUCUGUUCUGUACCAUUGAUCUACAAGUCUAUUUUGGUGUGAUUACAUGCUGUUUUUCUUACUACUGUACUGUAAUAUAGUUUAAGGAAUGGUAUUGUGAUGCCACCUGCCUCACUUCUUCACUUUUCUUGUUAAGGAUUUCUUUGACUAUUCUGGGUCUCUUAUUUUUCCAGAUGAAUUUCAUGAUUGCUUUUUCUAUUUCUAUAAGGAAUGUCAUUGGGAUUUUGAUUGGAAUUGCAUUAAGUUUGUAUAGUGCUUUUGGUGGUAUGGUCAUUUUGACAAUAUUAAUUCUGCCUGUUCAAGAACAAGGGAAAUCUUUCCAUGUUCUAAGGUCUUCUUUAAUUUUUUUUCUUUAGCAUUCUGUAAUUUUCAUUAUAAACAUCAUUUACCUCUUUCGUUAAAUUGAUUCCCAGGGUUUUGUUUGUUUGUUUGUUUUGAGGCUAUUAUAAAUGGGGUAGUUUUUCUAGUUUCUCUUUCAGUGGAUUUGUUACUGGUGUAUAAAAAUGCAUUUUUUAUGGAUCUUAAUUUUAUAUCCUGCUAUUUUGCUAAAUUCAUUUAUUAGUUCUAGACGUUUUCUGGUGGAAUUUUUCAAAUCCUGUUAGAAUCAUAUCAUUGGCAAAUAGUGAUAGUUUGCUUCUUUUCCUAUCCAUAUCCCUUUAAUUUCUUUCAUCUGACUAAUUCCUCUGGCUAGAGUUUCAAGAACUGUGUUAAAUAGAAGUGGUAGAAAAGGGCAUCCCUGCCUUGUUCCAGUUUUUAGAGGGAAUGCUUUCAAUCUUUCUCCAUUUAGAAUGAUGUUGGCCUUGGGCUUAGCAUAGAUAGCUUUUACAAUAUUGAGAUACGUUCUUAUUAUUUUAUUUUUUCUAGUGUUUUGAACGUGAAGCAGUGCUGUAUUUUGUUGAAUGCUUUUUCUGCAUCUAUUGAGAUGAUCAUACAAUUCUUGUCUUUAAGUCCAUUGAUGUCAUAAAUUACAUUUAUUGAUUUUCAUAUGUUGAAUCAAGCUUUAAUCCCAGGGAUGAACCCCACUUGACAGUGGUGUACUAUCUUUCUAAUAUGUUUUUGCUUUCAAUUUGCCAGAAUUGUAUUGAGAAUUUUUGCGUCUGUGUUCAUAAGAAAUAUUAAUCUGAAGUUUUCUUUCCUUGAUAUGUUUUUGCCUGGUUUCGGAAUUGGUGAUAUUGACCUCAUAGAAUGAGUUUGUAAGUGUUCUCUUUUUUUCUAUUUCAUGGAAUAAUUUGAGGGGUAUUAGUAUUAGUUCUUCUCUGAAGGUCUUGUAGAACUCAGCUGUGAAUCCAUCUAGUCUUGGGCUUUUCUUGGUUGCUAGGCUUUUGAUGGCAUCUUCUAUAUCACUGCUUGAAAUUGAUUUGUUUAACUUGUGUAUAAUGUCCUGAUUUAGUUUAUGUAAAUCAUAUGACUCUAGAAAUUUGUUGAUGUCUUCAAUAUUUUCUAUUUUACUGGAGUACAAAUUUUUAAAAUAAUUUCUAAUUAUCUUCUGGAUUUCUGUAGUGUCUGUCAUGAUAGUUUCUUUUGUAUCACAGGUUUUAGUAAUUUGAGUUUUCUCCUUCUAUUCAUUAGCAUGGCUGAGGGUUUAUUAAUUUUACUUAUUUUCUCAAAGAACCAACUUUUUAUUUUGUCAAUUUUUAAAAAUUGUUUCUUUUGUUUCAAUUUCAUUGAUUUCAACCCUGAUUUUAAUUAUCCCCUGUCUUUUAUUGCUUUGGGUGUUGUUUUGUUCCUUUUCUAGGGCUUUGAGGUGUAAUGUUAGGUGAUUUGUUUGUUGAUAUUUUUCUUCUUUUAAGGAAUAAACUUCAUGCAAUGAACUUUCCUCUUACUACUGCCUUCAUAGUGUCCCAAAGAUUUUGAUGUGUUAUAUCAUUGUUCUCAUUUACCUCUAGGAAUUUUUUAAUCUUCUCUUUGAUGUCUGCUGCAACCCAUUCUUCAUUUAAUUACAUAUUAUUUAGUCUCCAGGUGUUGGAGUAGCUUCUAUUGUUUGUUUUGUUGAUUUGUAAUUUCAUUACAUUAUGAUCUGAUAGAAUGCUGGGUACUAUCCCUAUGUUUUUGUAUUUGCUAAGAGUUGCUUUGUGGCAUAAUAUGUGGUCUGUUUUUGAGAAGGAUCUAUGUGCUAUUGAAAAGCAAGUAUAUUUACUCAUUUAUGGAUAAAAUAUUCUAUAUAUUUGUUAUGUCUAAGUUAUUAGUUGUAUUAUUGAGUUCUAUACUUUUUUUGUUUAGCUUUUGUCUUGAAGACCUAUCCAGUGGUGAAAGAGGUGUGUUAAAGUCACCCAGUAUUGUUGUGUUGUGGUCUGUUUGACUCUUGAAAUUGAGAAGAGUUUGUUUGAUGAAUGUAGAUGCUCCAUUGUUUGGGGCAUAUAUAUUUAUAAUUGUUAUGUCUUUUUGAUGUAUGGUUUCUUUAAGCAGUAUGAAAUGACCUUCUUUAUCCCUUUUGGGUAACUUUGGCUUGACAUCUACUUUAUUUGAUAUGAGGAUGGAAACCCCUGCUUGCUUAUACAGUGCAUGUGAGUGGUAUGUUUUGUCCCAACCUUUCAUCUUCAGUCUGGAUUUCUUUUCUUAUGAGAUGAGUCUCUUGAAGACAGCAUAUUGUUGGGUCUUUUUUUUAAAAAAAAAUCCAAUCUGCCAGUAUAUGUCUCUUGAUUGAUGAGUUUAGGCCAUUAACAUUCAGGGUUUUUAUUGAGACCUAGUUUGUGUUCCUGGUCAUUUUUGUAUUUUAACUUAACUUGAUUUCUCAUUUGAUUGAUUUUUUUUUCUUUAGUGUAAUACCUCCCUUUGUUGAUUUUCUUUGUUUUUAUUUCCUCCUCGUGAAAUAUUUUGCCACAGAUGUUCUGUAGUGCAGGCUCUCUAGUUGUAAAUUUUUUUAACUUUUGUAUAUCAUGGAAUGUUUUUAUUUAAUCAUCAAAUCUAAAGCUUAAUUUUAUUGGAUAUAAGAUUCUUCAUUGGCAUCCAUUUUCUUUCAGAGCUUGGUAUAUGUUGUUUCAGGAUCUUCUAGCUUUCGGGGUCUGGCUUGAAAACUCUGCAAAGAUUAUAAUUGGUUUUCCCCUAUAUGUAAUCUGAUUCCUUUGUCUUGCGACUUUUAAAAUUUUCUCCUUAUUCUGUAUGCUGGGCAUUUUCAUUAUAAUGUGACUUUAUGUAGAUCUGUUGUGAUUUUGUACAUUUGGUGUUCUUUAAGUCUCUUGUAUUUGAUUUUCCAAUUUAUUCAUCAUGUUUGGAAAAUUUUUUAGUCAGAAAUUUUUCAUUGAAUAGAUUGUUAUUUCAUUGAAUAGAUUGUUUUUGGUCUGUAAGUCUAUGCCUUUCUCUAUUCCAAUAAUUUCAAAUUUGGUCUUUUAUGAUAUCCCAUAAUUCUUGAAUGUUCUGCUUAUGUUUUUUUGCCAUUUUCACUGUGUGGUUGAGUUUAUUUUAAGGAUUAUAUAGUUUGUCUUCAUUGUCUGAAGUUCUGUCUUCUGACUGAUUUAAUCUGUUGGUGAUGCUUUCUAUUGAGUUUUUAAUUUGGUUUAUGUUUUCUUCACUUCAAGGAUUUCUGUUUGUUUUGUGGUUUGUUUUUUUUUUCAGAAUCUCUAUCGCCAUAUAAAUGUAAUGCCUUGCUUCUAUAUUGCUUAUGUAGCUCUUUAUCGAAAUGAUCUUUUAUGCCUGUAUUUGCACUCUUAUAUCAUUCUUUAAUUCAAGGAACAUUUUAAUCACAUACACCCUGAACUCCUUCUCUGACAUUUCUUCUUCUGUGCUGGCCGUUGAUUCUAAUAAUGUAGUAUCUUGGUUUGUUUGGGGUACUUUCUUCCUUUUUUUCCCAUGUUGGUCUUGUGUCUUCCCUUCUAGUACUGUGGAUCUGAGGUGUUAAAGUCUUUACCCUAUAGGUUUAUACUGUAUCUGUAGGGUUUCAGUACUUGUCCUUUAAGGGGCAGAUCAAUAUUAACAGAUCCCAAUUCAAACAAUACACAGCCUUAAACCAAAUAGCUCCUACUAAGACAUUUAUGUUUUUGUUACAAUAUACAGAAAUGGUGAGUUCACUUAUUAUCUACAAUAUAAACAGUAGGUUUGCAAAAGGGUCUAUAGGUUUUUUUAAAUUUUUUUUUUAUUUUUUUAAGUUGUAGAUAGACACAAUAUCUUUAUUUAUUUAUUUAUUUAUUUAUUUAUUUAUUUAUUAUGUGGUGCUUAGGAUCAAACCCAGUGCCUCACAUGUUCAAGGCAAACACUCUACCACUGAGCUACAACCCCAGCCCAAGGGUCUACAGUUUCUGAUGGUGGACAAAGAGAGAACUGGGGGUGGGGUGUAGGAUAAGACGGUAAGAUAGUGGGAGGUAAAGAUACAGAGGUACUAGAUUUUAGGAAGCAUGAAAGAGGAAUUGAAAGAAGUUGGCUGUUAGCAGGAGAAAAGAGAGAAAGUGAUUUGGGGAAGACAGGUAAGUGGGAAGACAAUAGAAAGAGUACCAAAAAAAAAAACCAAACAAACAAAAAUUAAGAAAUAUAAAAAAUAUAAAAAUAAGAUAUAAAAGAAUAUACAACACAACUGUAAUAUACUAUUCUUACAUCACAGUCCUCAGUAACCUAAUCCAUGAAAAGUAUUUGGGCAAAAAAAGAGAGAGAGGAAAGAAAAAAAGAAGGAAAAUCCUGAAGAAAAAAAAAAAGAUUUUUUUUUUCUGUUGGAGUUUCGUAUCUUUCCUGCUUCCCUUCAUAUCCAGUGAGAGGGGUUGUCUGCUGGUUGCUGGUAUCUUCACCCUCAGGGUGGUGAAGGUUGUCAGGGAGGGAGGGUUGGUCUUGGAGGUGGGGUAUAGCCCUUUCCAGUCCUUGUUGGAAGAUUGCACCCCAAAGGUAUCCUUUGGGUCCUGCACCUGGUCUUUUCUUCUUAUCUUGCCUAUAGAUCUCACAAUUCCUGAUCUCUACUUUAGCCUUUAAACUGUAUCUCAAUCACCCCCUCCCUUUCUACUUCUCAAUCAGGAACCUCUCUCUGGAGUUUUUGUGAGCUGCACUCUGGGGCAUGUGCACCUUUCUCAGAGGUGUUUUGAAUCAGGCAGGUCAGGACUAGUCUUUGCAAGCUAUAUACUGGCCACAUAGCUGCAAGUGCUGUGCCAGGUUAGUGGCUAAAGGGGAGAAGGGGGAGUUGGAGUACUAUAAAUACUUGAUAUUGCUUUUAGGCUCCAGCCAGUUUCCCAAGCUGAGAGUUGCCCCAACUAAAGAUGGCAACAAAAGUGUCCCAAGCUGGAGGUGUCUGCUUUCAGAGUUGGGGUGUUGGGUCGAGUUGGGCUGAGUAGUGGCAUUGGGUGGCAUGUUAGAAGUCGUAGCUCUGUGGCAUGCAGUGUUGUGGUUGGCAGGUUUCUCCAAAUGCUCUUCCGUGUCCCCAGAUGCAGGUGACUAUGGCAGUGAUUGAAGUGUCCCAAGAUGGAAAUGACCAAAUAGCCCUAUGGUGGUAGAAGGGGGUCCACGUGGGAGCAGUGGCCAGAGGUCCUUUGUACAAGUGGUGAUUGGGGGUCCCAUGCAGGAAUAGGAGCCACGGGUCCUGGGCUGACCCAGAGGCCAGGAUUCCUGUGUGGGAGCAGCUGUUGGGGUUCCUCUGAUAACUCACAGAGAAAUGUUAUUCCCACUGCUUGAAUCCCAGGUCAUGGAGUGACAAAGAAUGCAGCCUCCCUCUAGAUUCUCUCUGUGAGUAAUUCUUUAAUGUUACUUUUAUCUAUGUGGUCAUCACAGCCAUUCUCCUUCAUUCCAAUGUGUAUGGCUCCAGCUCUCAUGCUUAUCUCCACUCCAUGUCAUCUCACAUGGGAAACUUUUUUCGAUUUACAUGUAAGAAUUUUAACUAUUUAUGAGGUUCAGAAGGAAGUUUCAAUAAUAAAGUGUUAAGAUAAAUAUUAAAGAUCUUCCCUGUCCAUGUGCCUGUGUUACCUUUGUAAAUCCUUGAUGGUAUAUCUAAUGAAUGCCUCUCUCUACUCUGGUUUUGUGUCUGUCCAUAUGUUUUUUUCUUUUCCCCAUGCUUCCAACAUCAUGCCACACACCAUACUGUAUUAUAUCAAACUGGGUACAUGCUGGGUUCAGAAUUGGCUAGAGAUGCCACAAAUGCUUGUGAAUGAGAGAACACUGCAGAAUUUACCUUUGCUGAUGACAUAUUUCUAGGAAAUAGGAAACAGAUAAGUUGCUAGUAGAAAAUUUGAGGUCAUUUUCAGUAAGAGGUCACUUACGAGGAACAAAUUAAGGACUGAGGGGCUGCUCAGGGUGGAAGCCCAUGUGCCAGGCCUUCUGUGCCAUGGUAUGAGUAUAUGGCUGCCCCACGCAAAUCUUCAGAGAAUGCCAAAUUAGCUAAGAGGAGUGGAAGAGAUAGAAUUAACAGCAAACUAUGCUUCUUUGGGAAUCUUUUGCAUGAAUUCUGUGUUCACCAGUAUGUUUUUUGUGAAACUGAUGUUCUAGGUUAAGGCUGUGUGUAUUUAAACUUGUCAGAUAUUGCCUAAUUGUAGUCCAGUGAGGAAAUACAUUUCACUUUGCUGUCACUAAAAUGGACACUAUUUAUCUUCACCAAUCACAUAGGCAAAAAAAAUGACAUUGAUUACUAAAUUUUUAUCCAUUUUUGUGGGGAGGGAGCUACCAGUUCUCAGGGAGAAAGAAAGAGAGAGAGAAACUUAAUCUUAUUUUCUAGUGAUCAACAACAGUCCCACAUCCGUAUCAGCUCUUUUCUGUUUGUUUACAACCUGGAUCCUUAUUCAGGACAAAUAUGUUCUUACCUUUAUGUCUACCCACCCAUGGAGCUUUCUCAUUGUUUACAUGGUGGUACAUCUGUGUGGAUUUACCACACCUAAUCACUGCAGGGACCCUGAUAAGACUGCCUUCUGACUUCUUAUAUGCACAGUUAUGUAUCUCCUGGUAGUUAUCCUGGAGGCAACAUGUCAUUUUAUGGUCUAGACAUGAAAUGGAAUAUUUUUGACCCUAAUGAGAAAUGAAGUUCUGAUACAUGCUCAAACAAGUUGAUUCUUGAAAACAUUAUGCUAAGCAAAAGAAGCACAGGCCAAAAAACAAACACGGUCUCUUCAAAUUGAAUGAGAUUUUAGGAGUGGAUAAAUUUACAUAUAAAGAAAAUAGAAUGCUGGUUAUCAAAAACAGGGGGAAGAAAAAGAUUGGAAGUUAGUGUUAGAAACUAAACCUUACUGUAUGAUUUUAGUUUGGGGUGAUAAGCUUCUGGAGAUGGGGAGUGAUAAUGAUUUUCCAAACCAUGGAUUUACUUAAUGUUAUUUAGUUGUGUAAUUCAAUAACAUGAGAUGGGAAGGCCAUCCUGGAUGGCAUGGUGUAAUUGACAAAAUCCAAGUAAUCCCAUGGAUCUUUAAAAUGGAAGAGGAGAUAAAGAAGUCUCGUGAUGGAUCAGGCACUCUGCCAGCUGUUGCUAGUUUUGAAGGUGCAGGAAGCAUCCACUAGCCAAGAAGUGGGUGGCUUCUAGAGCCAGAAAAAGCAAGGAAGCAGGAAGUGCCCAAGGUCCUCCAUCGGGUGAUACAAUGAUUGUAUCAAUGUAAACAAGUGAUUGUGUCCCCCAGUGAUUCUAGGCCAGUGGGACCCCUGGUGGAUUCCUAACCUACAGCUCUAACAUAAUGAGAUGUGUUCUCAGCCGUGAUGUUUGUGGAAAGUCGUUGCCACAGCGAUGGAAAAUCAGCACUAGUGCUACUUUCUCUGACUUCAGCAGUGAGGAGCUCUGGGGGACACGAUGAACUCUGUAAACCCUGAAGGUCUUAGGUCUUAGGUCAGCAGAUCGAGAGACACUGUUAUAUAUUUUAAGUGCUACAAUAGGUACUUGUGCUCUAUUUUCUUUUCUGUCCCCUUUUAUGGACUUUCACUCUAUUUUCCUCACAGGAUUCCUCCAUGGAUUUUAUUUGAAUUAGAGAAAAUUGGAAGACAAUGGUAGUCAUAUAGACUGAGGUUUCCCUCUUUUCUUUUUUACAGAAUAAGUUCUGUUUCUGCCACACAAAGGGAAAGAAUAGACUUAUAAAAAAUCACAUACUAUAGAAUCUGCCUCAAGGAUAUUUUGCUGUCACCUUUUAAAACAUUAUUAAUUCAAACAGUUAUUUUUCUACAACCAUAAAAGGGGAAAUACAAUAGCUUUAAAAGGUUUUCUCCAAAAGUAGCUGGGGACUGUAUUCACCAGUUUUCAGACUUACAAGAGGUGAUAUGUUGUUGUCAUCGUAAAGUUGCUACUUAGUAAACUGACUCGAGGUGUCCUGUGAUCACUGAUUACUUUAUCAAGGCCACCAGCCCUUGAAGCACAGAGAUAAAGGAAGAAGAUUUUCAGGCUGCUGCAAUAAACUGAGGGCCAGAGGUUCUUACCAUUGGCUGAUUUGUCUUUAAAUUCAGUAAUUGGUCUGGGGAGUUUUCAACCAUUCAGCUAAUUCUACCAACAAAUUCCUCUGUAUUUCAAAGCCAAAAUCACUCAUGCAAAUCCUUAAAACACCCAAGUGUAAAGCACAGGUUGACUUCACAUCUCCCCACAGGAGUGGCCAUGUCUCUACAAGGGAGGUCUAUUGAAGGGUCUUUGGUUGUUGCUGCUGGUAAUGGUGGUGGCUUUGUUGAUAAUGUGUACAGUUUUUGUUCUGUCAUUGUUUGUAUUUAUUCUGAACUAUUUCUAGGAAAUAACUGUAGACCAAUUGCCUUAUUUUAAUUCUGGAAGGUGAAAGAACACAAGAAUUUCCUGAAGGAUUAUUUUAAGAUUUUUAUUUCAAAAUUUGUGGAAUGAUAUUUUUAAUUAAGGUUUUUAAAUAAAUUUAUUUUUGUGACUCAAUGACAUGCACAAUGUGUGUUAAACUGUGGUCUGUGGCCCACCUGUAUCAGAAUCAUCAGUGUGUUAAACUGUCUGCAUCAGAAUCACCUGGGAUACUUACAUAAUAAUGCAGAUUCUAGAUUAGAGUCCCACAACCAAUAAAGUGCUUGAUAUUACAGUCCAGGGAGUCGCUCCCACAAUCC